rnacentral:tRNA from 1 species
GCCUUCGUGGUGUAGUGGUUCUGCACGCUGGGCCAGUACUCCAGAGGUCCGCGGUUCGAUUCCCGGCGAAGGCG